GCAAUGAUGACUUUGUACUUUUGACUGCCGUGAAAAAAAGAAACAGUCCUCUAAGAAGUUCUGAGCUC